GGCAAGAUGGCCGAGCGGUUAAGGCGUGUGACUCAAGCGCUUAAGCUUGCCGGUAAACACUGGUAUGUUUUCACAUAGGGAAACCUGCGUGGGUUCGAGUCCCACUCUUGUCA